GUUGCUCUUGGAAGUGAGCAAAGUUUAAGUUUGGGGUUGCUCUUGGAAGUGAGCAAAGUUAAAGUUUGGGGUUGGAGUAGUAGAUAAAAAAACGGUCAAAAAUUCAUUUUUUUUAGAAAAUAAGAAAUUAAAAAUAACUUCUCCAAAAAAAGAGAAAAAGAGUGACAAGGACCAUAAAAUGUUAAUCUCUAGUACCGACUAAUUAAGCAAAAGUGAAUAUGAAAAGGAAUAUGAUAACAUAAAGAAAA
rnacentral:lncRNA from 1 species